CUAUUUUUCUAAGAAACGGUGAUAUUUGUAGACGUGGGAAAAAUAAAUAUAAUUCUUGAUUAUAUUAUCUUUAAUAACACAGCUUUCGAUACACGAUUCAUAACACUUCGCUCGAUACAAUUUAUUCCCAAAGUAACCUCCAAUUCGAAUUUUUACUCCAACUUUACUCGUUUCUUUACUAUGUGACACUAUGAAACAAAAAAAGGAGAAAAAUCAAUCAUAAGUAUAACAGUAAUUUGACAGCUUUAGAAAAACGAUAAUUAGAGGCAAUAUUUUUAAAAUAAAUAAACAUCAACUAAUUCUAUCGUAACAAAAUAUCGACUCCGGCCUGCAUGCUCUAUCUCCGUCCGUCUUUCGAAAUGAGACAGUGAUGGCUGAGCGCUCGUGCCAGACGGACCUGUACUAGGUGUCCCCAAAACAAAUAUAAGAUUUACUUAUAAAAACUGUGCUGUGUUGUGUGUCCUAGUGAUAUACCGUGUGCACCAAAACCUUUAAGUUAUAAUGGGUAACAAGCAAUUGAAUAAAAAGAAGACAUCUCGAAAAAGACAACUCGGAAGAUUCCAACAAACAAUGGAACUAACGAAAAGAAGAAAAUUGGAUAAUUUCACAGCCGAACAUGAUACUAUAUCUUUAGACUACAUCGAACUGCAAAAUAUGGAAAUGGAAUCUCCGAUUUCAUCAACCACUGACAUUCAAAGUAACGAUGAGGCGACCGGC